rnacentral:rRNA from 1 species
UUCGGUGGUUUUGGCGGUGGGGAAACGCCCGGUCCCUUUCCGAACCCGGAAGCUAAGCCCACCAGCGCCGAUGGUACUGCACCCGCCAGGGUGUGGGAGAGUAGGACACCGCCGAAC